AGUUGCAACUGUGGCAAAAAGGUUGCUAGUCAUCAGCUGGACAUCGUCACAGAAAGCUAUCCAUACAUCAUAAUGGAAUCAGUAUUUGACUUGUCAAUACUGCGCACAAAAUAUUUUCAAUCCUCUAGUACUAAUCAAACUUUGUGACCUAUUAUUGUCUGGUAUUCGAAGUGUAUAAGAGUAUUCCGAGGCAAAAAUAGCAUAGUGGAAGGUGUGCAUCAUUAUUUCUUAUUCAAGUGGAAAAAAGUUGAACGAAACAGAAAUGUUUGUUCGUAAAAACAUUUCAAGCUGUGCAUUAAAAAAGUGGUCCAAGAUUCUUGUGGCUUUUUAUUUAUUGAUAGUUCUUAUAUAUAGUAGCUAGAUGCUGCUAUAUUAACAAAUCAUAAUAUAGAAAAUCUUGAAUACAAUGGAUAUUUUUAUUUCUGAAAGGUAGUGCCUUCUUUGUACCUUAAAAGCCUUAGUUUUCCUCCAAAACUUAUGCCCCUAUUAUCGAAAUGAUAAAUAUUAAAAAAAUACAUUAAUUCUGCAGUGAUCGAUAAAUUUGACAGUGUUAGAAAAAUGAUUGGAAAUUCUCAUUCAACAUCCAAUAUUCUAAUAACACUGAUGUAAUUCGUUAAAGUUUAGAAGGAGGAAAAUAUUUGUUGAUAAGUGAGCUUGUUCCAUAAUUUAAAAAAAUGAAGAAUUUAGAAUAAUACAUGAACUUUAAGCAGAAUAUAAGGAUGAUUAUUUGUAGGAAAUGAUUCAAUCAUUUGAAAAAUUUUGAAAAAGUUUGAAUUCUCUUUUCAACUAUUUUCUGAUUUUUGUUGUUGUGCUUUGUUUCCUUCGAAACGGGGAUUCAUAAGUCCCUCCGCUGUAAUGGAUUCUUCUUCUCCCAUUUUACCACAUGAAGUGCUAUAAGGUCCAUUGACACGAAUAUGUGACCGAUUAUUUCUAGACUGCUGCAUCACCGGAGAAUCAGUGUUUUCCCAGGGAAGCCCUUUCCGAAAUUGGUGCACAAUCUAUACAACCGGCUAUGAUACAUGUAAAACUCUGGUGAUGAUUCGUAAUAUGCAGAAUAUUUAUGAUUCAUAUUUUAUUUUUUUCAUUCUUGCUCAGUCUUCUUGGGUGGGUUCUUGAUCCCAUAGGUUAUUUCCCAUCAGGUAUAAAAAAACAAUUCAUGGAUUGAAUAAAAAAAAAAGUAGAAACAUGGCAAAACAACUUGGCAUAAAGGUUGAACAUCACAUGAGUUUGAUGAUAGCCUUGAGUACUGUACAGAAAGAGAGAGGGAAAAAGAGGGAGAAAGACCGUGCUCAUGUCUACUUACAACGUGUGACCAAAUAUAGAAUUUUGAUGAUCAGUACAGAAGCAUCAUUGGAGAAAUAGCAGCAGGUUCAACUACACAGGUGCUCAAUUAUAGGGGAAGAGGGAAUGAGGGAUAUUGAGAAGUAACAGUAGGUGUCUCUAAUUUAUCUUGUUUCCGAAUGUGAUUAAUGUGUCGUAUUGAUGAUGUCUGUAUAUAUCCACAGAUAUAUUCAAAAUUAUUAUUAUGAUCAAUUUUUUCAUGAAAAUAUUCAUUUUUCGAUUAGUUGGGUUUCCUGUAAUGUUUUUCGCAAAGAGGAUUGAAAAAUGGACCUAAGUGAAACCCAUUGCAACUAAAUUUCUUCAAUUAUCAAUCUUGUUUUUCUCUUUUUUUUCCAUAGUUCUAUUAGAAUGAUAAAU